rnacentral:rRNA from 1 species
AUUGAACGCUGGCGGCAUGCUUUACACAUGCAAGUCGAACGGUAACAGGGAGCUUGCUCCGCUGACGAGUGGCGAACGGGUGAGUAAUGCGUCGGAACGUGCCGAGUAGUGGGGGAUAACGCAUCGAAAGGUGUGCUAAUACCGCAUACGUACUGAGGUAGAAAGUGGGGGACCUUCGGGCCUCACGCUAUUCGAGCGGCCGACGUCUGAUUAGCUAGUUGGUGAGGUAAAGGCUCACCAAGGCGACGAUCAGUAGCGGGUCUGAGUGGAUGGUCCGCCACACUGGGACGGGGACACGGACCAGACUCCUACGGGAGGCAGGAGUGGGGAAUUUUGGACAAUGGGCGCAAGCCUGAUCCAGCCAUGCCGCGUGUCUGAAGAAGGCCUUCGGGUUGUAAAGGACUUUUGUCCGGGAGCAAAUGCUGGUGGCUAACAUCCACCGGAGCUGAGAGUACCGGAAGAAUAAGCACCGGCUAACUACGUGCCAGCAGCCGCCGUAAUAC